UACAAGAACGCCCGGGCUUCGGCCUGGUUAUUCAUAACCCUUUGUUGUCCGACUCUGUUGCCUCCGGGGCGACCCUGCCUUCGGGCGGGGGCUCCGGGUGGACACUUCAAACUCUUGCGUAACUUUGCAGUCUGAGUAAACUUAAUUAAUAAAUUAAAACUUUUAACAACGGAUCUCUUGGUUCUGGCAUCGAUGAAGAACGCAGCGAAAUGCGAUAAGUAAUGUGAAUUGCAGAAUUCAGUGAAUCAUCGAAUCUUUGAACGCACAUUGCGCCCCCUGGUAUUCCGGGGGGCAUGCCUGUUCGAGCGUCAUUUCACCACUCAAGCCUCGCUUGGUAUUGGGCAACGCGGUCCGCCGCGUGCCUCAAAUCGUCCGGCUGGGUCUUCUGUCCCCUAAGCGUUGUGGAAACUAUUCGCUAAAGGGUGUUCGGGAGGCUACGCCGUAAAACAACCCCAUUUCUAAGGUUGACCUCGGAUCAGGUAGGGAUACCCGCUGAACUUAAGCAUAUCAAUAAGCGGAGGA
rnacentral:rRNA from 1 species